GUGAGGUCGGAGGUUCAAGUCCUCCCAGGCCCACCAGUUUAUCCAUUACUUUCAUAAGUGCUUUUAAAAAAUAAGUACUUCUAAAAAGAUUGCUUCUAAAAAGAUUGCUUCUAAAAAGAUUGCCUCUAAAAAGCUUAUCAAAAUUGGCAGGCUUAUUGCUUUUGUGUGAGUAAUCCAAAGUUAAAGCAAAUUAAUGGCAAAAAAACAGUUCAAAUGCUAAAUACUAAGGAGUCAAAAUUCCUUGCAAAGUGAUUUUUACAGCGUCCAUUUGGUUGAUAUAAAUUCCAAAUGCUCAUAGACGUCAAUGCCUAUAUGAAACUAUCGGUUCAAUCAUAUCGCUUUGAGUUAUAUAGAUUUUGUAAUCCCUCUUUUGAUCGUUUUAAACGCUUUAUCCUGAUUUAGGGGCCGUAGCUCAGCUGGGAGAGCACCUGCUUUGCAAGCAGGGGGUCGUCGGUUC
rnacentral:misc_RNA from 1 species